rnacentral:rRNA from 1 species
AGCGUACACGGUGGAUGCCCUGGCAGUCAGAGGCGAUGAAGGACGUGCUAAUCUGCGAUAAGCGUCGGUAAGGUGAUAUGAACCGUUAUAACCGGCGAUUUCCGAAUGGGGAAACCCAGUGUGAUUCGUCACACUAUCAUUAACUGAAUCCAUAGGUUAAUGAGGCGAACCGGGGGAACUGAAACAUCUAAGUACCCCGAGGAAAAGAAAUCAACCGAGAUUCCCCCAGUAGCGGCGAGCGAACGGGGAGCAGCCCAGAGCCUGAAUCAGUGUGUGUGUUAGUGGAAGCGUCUGGAAAGGCGCGCGAUACAGGGUGACAGCCCCGUACACAAAAAUGCACAUGCUGUGAGCUCGAUGAGUAGGGCGGGACACGUGGUAUCCUGUCUGAAUAUGGGGGGACCAUCCUCCAAGGCUAAAUACUCCUGACUGACCGAUAGUGAACCAGUACCGUGAGGGAAAGGCGAAAAGAACCCCGGCGAGGGGAGUGAAAAAGAACCUGAAACCGUGUACGUACAAGCAGUGGGAGCACGCUUAGGCGUGUGACUGCGUACCUUUUGUAUAAUGGGUCAGCGACUUAUAUUCUGUAGCAAGGUUAACCGAAUAGGGGAGCCGAAGGGAAACCGAGUCUUAACUGGGCGUUAAGUUGCAGGGUAUAGACCCGAAACCCGGUGAUCUAGCCAUGGGCAGGUUGAAGGUUGGGUAACACUAACUGGAGGACCGAACCGACUAAUGUUGAAAAAUUAGCGGAUGACUUGUGGCUGGGGGUGAAAGGCCAAUCAAACCGGGAGAUAGCUGGUUCUCCCCGAAAGCUAUUUAGGUAGCGCCUCGUGAAUUCAUCUCCGGGGGUAGAGCACUGUUUCGGCAAGGGGGUCAUCCCGACUUACCAACCCGAUGCAAACUGCGAAUACCGGAGAAUGUUAUCACGGGAGACACACGGCGGGUGCUAACGUCCGUCGUGAAGAGGGAAACAACCCAGACCGCCAGCUAAGGUCCCAAAGUCAUGGUUAAGUGGGAAACGAUGUGGGAAGGCCCAGACAGCCAGGAUGUUGGCUUAGAAGCAGCCAUCAUUUAAAGAAAGCGUAAUAGCUCACUGGUCGAGUCGGCCUGCGCGGAAGAUGUAACGGGGCUAAACCAUGCACCGAAGCUGCGGCAGCGACGCUUAUGCGUUGUUGGGUAGGGGAGCGUUCUGUAAGCCUGUGAAGGUGUACUGUGAGGUAUGCUGGAGGUAUCAGAAGUGCGAAUGCUGACAUAAGUAACGAUAAAGCGGGUGAAAAGCCCGCUCGCCGGAAGACCAAGGGUUCCUGUCCAACGUUAAUCGGGGCAGGGUGAGUCGACCCCUAAGGCGAGGCCGAAAGGCGUAGUCGAUGGGAAACAGGUUAAUAUUCCUGUACUUGGUGUUACUGCGAAGGGGGGACGGAGAAGGCUAUGUUGGCCGGGCGACGGUUGUCCCGGUUUAAGCGUGUAGGCUGGUUUUCCAGGCAAAUCCGGAAAAUCAAGGCUGAGGCGUGAUGACGAGGCACUACGGUGCUGAAGCAACAAAUGCCCUGCUUCCAGGAAAAGCCUCUAAGCAUCAGGUAACAUCAAAUCGUACCCCAAACCGACACAGGUGGUCAGGUAGAGAAUACCAAGGCGCUUGAGAGAACUCGGGUGAAGGAACUAGGCAAAAUGGUGCCGUAACUUCGGGAGAAGGCACGCUGAUAUGUAGGUGAAGCGACUUGCUCGUGGAGCUGAAAUCAGUCGAAGAUACCAGCUGGCUGCAACUGUUUAUUAAAAACACAGCACUGUGCAAACACGAAAGUGGACGUAUACGGUGUGACGCCUGCCCGGUGCCGGAAGGUUAAUUGAUGGGGUUAGCGCAAGCGAAGCUCUUGAUCGAAGCCCCGGUAAACGGCGGCCGUAACUAUAACGGUCCUAAGGUAGCGAAAUUCCUUGUCGGGUAAGUUCCGACCUGCACGAAUGGCGUAAUGAUGGCCAGGCUGUCUCCACCCGAGACUCAGUGAAAUUGAACUCGCUGUGAAGAUGCAGUGUACCCGCGGCAAGACGGAAAGACCCCGUGAACCUUUACUAUAGCUUGACACUGAACAUUGAGCCUUGAUGUGUAGGAUAGGUGGGAGGCUUUGAAGUGUGGACGCCAGUCUGCAUGGAGCCGACCUUGAAAUACCACCCUUUAAUGUUUGAUGUUCUAACGUUGACCCGUAAUCCGGGUUGCGGACAGUGUCUGGUGGGUAGUUUGACUGGGGCGGUCUCCUCCUAAAGAGUAACGGAGGAGCACGAAGGUUGGCUAAUCCUGGUCGGACAUCAGGAGGUUAGUGCAAUGGCAUAAGCCAGCUUGACUGCGAGCGUGACGGCGCGAGCAGGUGCGAAAGCAGGUCAUAGUGAUCCGGUGGUUCUGAAUGGAAGGGCCAUCGCUCAACGGAUAAAAGGUACUCCGGGGAUAACAGGCUGAUACCGCCCAAGAGUUCAUAUCGACGGCGGUGUUUGGCACCUCGAUGUCGGCUCAUCACAUCCUGGGGCUGAAGUAGGUCCCAAGGGUAUGGCUGUUCGCCAUUUAAAGUGGUACGCGAGCUGGGUUUAGAACGUCGUGAGACAGUUCGGUCCCUAUCUGCCGUGGGCGCUGGAGAACUGAGGGGGGCUGCUCCUAGUACGAGAGGACCGGAGUGGACGCAUCACUGGUGUUCGGGUUGUCAUGCCAAUGGCACUGCCCGGUAGCUAAAUGCGGAAGAGAUAAGUGCUGAAAGCAUCUAAGCACGAAACUUGCCCCGAGAUGAGUUCUCCCUGACUCCUUGA